UGUUUAGCAGAGGUGUAGUAGACUAGUAGAGGUGUACCAGGAACUAACAUCACCACUCUGUUCAUCUGGGUAGAGGAAAGUAGACAGGAGGGUAGUCAGGAGACGCUGUAGAAACUCUGAUACUGAUAGGUGAGAAUAAGGUGAAACAUGGAGCACUUCAAGCCAGCAUUUAACAGUCUGACCGACCAGCUGAGAAAAACAGCCAGUUUUACCGUGACCUUCUUCGCUCUUUUUCUUUACCAAGUUGUGUUGGAUGAGCACUUAAAAUGCUCAUGUAAAGACGGUGUGAAACCAGAGGUUACAAACAACCAGUGUAUCUUCUACAUGUUGUUUCCAGCUCUGAUCUUGGUUCUCUUGACUCUCUGGAUGGAUGGAGAGUUUCAACGAGUCUUGAGAAUUAUACGCAUAUGCAAAUGUAAUUUGUGGAGAAGAUUUUUCGCAAUGCUCUUUAAGGCGGUCGCUAUAGGGUCGCUGUGGGUUGUGUCUGUGCUUUUUGAUGGGGACUGGUACGUGUGCCUUAAAAGAGUGAUGCUUCCCUGCAGGAACAACACCACACCCUUCCAAGAGGAACUAGAAAAGCAACUCGAAGCUCAUUUCAAAACGGAGUCCAUGGUUAUUGGAUUGGUUCUGGUUCUGGGUCUGCUUGUUGUGACUUAUAUUCUGACUGCAGUACCUUGGAGGGAUAUCUGUUCUGUUAUACGCAGAAAAUGUACAAGGUACCAGAACAUUAACGAUUGCAGUACAAUCAAAAUGUAUCACAAGAUGCUUUAUGAGGAGAGCAUUUUGGAACAGAUAGACAUUGUUAUUGAAAAAGAGUUAAAGAAAACAGCUAAAGAGCAUGUAGUUCUUAAAAUCAGAGAACUACUACCGCCCUCUUCGACUGCAGCCCCUCCAACCCCCGCCACACAGGGAGGAGACGGGGCAAGCAGCAGCACCAUCCGUCCUGAGUUGGAAGAAAGUAGGAGCAGCACCAAUCCAGAGGUGGAAGAUAGAGUGAUCACCCUUGACAACCUUGAUUUUGACAGGAUAUCUACGCUACAUUCUCAAAUAAUCUGCUCGAUGUUCCCAGAACAAACACAUUCAGGGAACGAUAACUGAAGAAGUGGCCAGAUGCCACUACUUGAGGAAGGCUCUCAACCCUAACUUUGGUGUAAUAUAUUUAGCAUCAAAUAUGUAAUGUUAUAUAUACAUUAAUAGUAUGAUACACUGUAUGUGAACCGUUUGUGAAAACUGUGGCUUUCAAGUGAAAUACUCAAAUCAGUCACACAAAAAUGAACUGUAGUGAGUAGCGACCAUGUGUUUAUAAGGAUACAUCUGUCUCACAAUAAACUGUGUUUCUGGUUAAGGUGGCAGCAGUAGUUUGGUACAAUACAACUAGAAUGGGUUAUAGGAGGGGGAGUGAACAACUGUGGGUGAUAAACCUUAACAACUACACUGUAUAAGUCUGUAUAAUGUCACAGGGUGGUAAUGUGAGCCGGGUAGCAAAAAUGAGCCUGUUAGAACACAGUGAUGGUUGACAGAGCUGUUCUAAAUCAUCUUUAUUUCUAGACUAUAAACAAUGUAACCUUCAUUAAUGAAUGUGUUAAUAUAACCAGUGAAAUAUUGUUUUUGUCUUUUUGUUCAUAUGUUGUUACUGUUGAUUAUAUUCUGCCUUUAUGUCUACCUUUAACUAAAAAAUAUAUUUAUAUAUAAUAUUACUAACAAUCUUUAUUUCCUCCUGUCUUCAAUGUACCACAUUUGUUCGCUUUGCAUUUCUAUACAUGU